GACGGAAGGUGCAAGCGUUGCUCGGAAUCACUGGGCGUAAAGGGUGCGUAGGCGGCCGUGCAAGUCUGGCGUGAAAGCCCCGGGCUCAGCCCGGGAAGUGCGCUCGAAACUGCGCGGCUCGAGUGCCGGAGGGGAGAGUGGAAUUCCUGGUGUAGCGGUGAAAUGCGUAGAUAUCAGGAAGAACACCUAUGGCGAAGGCAGCACUCUGGGACGGUACUGACGCUGAGACGCGAAAGCGUGGGGAGCGAACAGG
rnacentral:rRNA from 1 species